rnacentral:rRNA from 1 species
CUACGGGAGGCAGCAGUGGGGAAUAUUGGACAAUGGGGGGAACCCUGAUCCAGCCAUGCCGCGUGUGUGAAGAAGGCCUUUUGGUUGUAAAGCACUUUAAGCGAGGAGGAGGCUACUUAGAUUAAUACUCUAGGAUAGUGGACGUUACUCGCAGAAUAAGCACCGGCUAACUCUGUGCCAGCAGCCGCGGUAAUACAGAGGGUGCAAGCGUUAAUCGGAUUUACUGGGCGUAAAGCGCGCGUAGGUGGCCAAUUAAGUCAAAUGUGAAAUCCCCGAGCUUAACUUGGGAAUUGCAUUCGAUACUGGUUGGCUAGAGUAUGGGAGAGGAUGGUAGAAUUCCAGGUGUAGCGGUGAAAUGCGUAGAGAUCUGGAGGAAUACCGAUGGCGAAGGCAGCCAUCUGGCCUAAUACUGACACUGAGGUGCGAAAGCAUGGGGAGCAAACAGGAUUAGAUACCCUGGUAGUCCAUGCCGUAAACGAUGUCUACUAGCCGUUGGGGCCUUUGAGGCUUUAGUGGCGCAGCUAACGCGAUAAGUAGACCGCCUGGGGAGUACGGUCGCAAGACUAAAACUCAAAUGAAUUGACGGGGGCCCGCACAAGCGGUGGAGCAUGUGGUUUAAUUCGAUGCAACGCGAAGAACCUUAC